GGCCGCGGCAGCAGCGGCCUCUGUUCUCAGAGGCGCGCUUCGCUGAGCGGAGCGGGGGCCCAGCCCACGCGCCCUCAGAGGCGAGUGAGGACGUCGCGGUCCCCGCAAAGAGGAGGCUCUCGGUGCGGCCGACCUUCCCGCAGCUCGGAGAGAAGCCACACAGCAAUGCUGAUGAAGACUGCCAUUACUGAGCGAUUACUGAGUGCCUAGAGUUUAUCUUCUCUAUACUUUACAAGAACCAUGUGUGGAAGAAGCUGCUUUUUGGAGAUGAGGAAUCUGAGGCUUAGAGUGUGCGGCAGGUAAAAUAAUGGCCCCCAAAGACAGCCCCGUUCAAAUCCCUGGAACCAGCGAAUAUAUUGCCUUACACUGCAGAAGAGAUUCUGCAGGUGAGUUAAAGGUUAAGACCUUGAGAUGAGAUUAUUCAGAGUCACCUGGCUGGGCCCACGCUAAUCACUGAGUCCUUAAAAGUGGAACCUGUUCUGGCUGGGUUAGAGAGUGGCACACCUGUCGAAGCAGGGUCAGAGAGACGGCAGUGUGAGAAGGACUCAAUACUCUGUUGCUGAGCUGUGGGUACCAGCCACAGACCGGCAAGAGUACUCUAGGAGCUCAGUUCAGCCCUCAGCUAACAGCCGGCAAGGAAACAGAGCCCUCAGUCCUAUAGCCCCGUGGAACUGAAGUCUGCCAACAGCUGAAGGAGCGAGCGAGGGGAUUCUGUCCUGACCCUGCAAGAAGGACCCCAGCGCUGCCAGCACAUCAGUUUCAGCCCAGUGAGACGCACGCCAGACUUCUGACUUACCAAACUGUAAGAUAACAGAUUUGCGUUGUUUUACACCUCUAAAAUUGUGGUAAUUUUUCUUAUGGUGGCAGCAAAAGAAAACAAAUAUAGGCCACCAUGACCAGAAAGUUUUAGUGAAAUGGGAGCUCAAACUCAGGUGGUCUGACUCCAGCAUCUGGGUACAGCGAGGUCAUUACUUAUUUAGCCAGCACAUUUUUUAAAAAUUUUUUAUUACUCAAAUGAAUAUAUCCCAUCUGUAGUUGUAUAAUGAUCAUCACAAUCUGACUUCCCAGGAUGUCCAUCCCACGGCCCAGGCACAUCCCCCCACCCCCCAAACUGUCUCCUCUGGAGACCAUGAGUGUUUCAAUGUCUGUGAGUCAGCAUCUGUUCUGCAAAGAAGUCCCGUCUGUCCUUUUUUCAACCAGCACAUAUUGAUGAGCAUUUGGAUUCUCAAUGUAUAGUAUUUCAGACAAUGGGACCGUAGAUUUCUGUAUUUUCAAACACUUUAGUUAGAAUUUACACAGGAAAAUUCGCUACAACUGAAAUUACUGGGGGGGGAGGAUAAUCACAUUAAAUAUUUUUAUAAAUGCUGCCAAAUUGCCUUGCAAAUGUUCCCAGUGACACCCUUAGUCUAAAGCAGAAAUCAGCAGGAAAAGAACGAACACAAAGUAUGGCUGGAUCUGGCUCAUCGGUGACCAUUUCAGCAAACCAAGAACUGAAAUGACCAAGAACUGAAACGAGCUUUCCCCUUCGUUUCAACUGCACACCUUGCGGAAGUCUGCUCCAGAAGAGUCUCCUGGCUGUCUUCUCUCCGCGUGUCAUGGACAAGUGCGUUUUGUGCUUUACCUCUGGGUCUUGCUUUUUGCCCUUUGAGGCAAGAAUGACUGGCAAAGAUAAACAGCCUUUUCAGUAAGGAUCCCUUGUGCUACCCAUCCAUUCUAAAAUACUCUGCUACCUCAACCGAGGCUAGAUUUUCCCAUGAGUAUAAAAUACGAAGAGCAUCUCGGUAAUUUUGAAUGAUAGGCUUUGCCGCAGCACCUGGAAUCCAGCUUAUGGAAGGAAUCACAUGCGAAGGAAGUUAGCAGGGCAGCCAGCUCAGGUGCACUGGCUCUGGGACUGGCUGGCGUUUCCAGGCGUCACCAAAGCAGCCCCAUGAGAUCCAAUGGCCAAGGCCUCACCUGACAUCCAAACACCCUCUUCACAUUAGGGGAUCCCAGGCUCAGAAGGACAAGGCGUCUUUCUUGCUGGAAGCAACUUUUAUUUUCUUUGGGCACCUUAACCCCACCGUUCGGUCUAGAAAGUGAGCUCCUUCACUCCCGGCUUACGCCAGUGCGCUUGUGGGCUUGUAGAUCUGAUGACAACCUUUCUUUUUGCCCAGGAUCUUUCUUUCGUUCUAGAACUUCUUUUUCUCUUACUGUAUUGCCUCAGACAUUUGGUUUUCUCUUUAUGCUGUGAUUUUCCCAGGUUUAUAGUUAAACUUUUUUUCGGCUUUUGCUUUUUAGGGCCGCACCCACAGCAUAUGGAAGCUCCCAGGCUUGGGGUCAAAUUGGAGCUGUAGCUCUAUAGCCUACACCACAGCCACAGCAACGCCAGAUCCUUAACCCACUGAGGGAGGCCAGGAAUUGGUCCUGCAUCCUCAUGGGUACUGGUCAGGUGCUUAACUCGCUGAGCCACAACGGGAACUCCGAAAGCUUUUGACUCAAUUGUUCUGCUUGGUUUUUCUCUUUUGCCUAACUGCUAGAUCCUGGGACAUAGUUUUCAUUUUUGUUUUGUCUUUCGGGUUUGGGUUUUGUUGCUGUUGAUGUUAGAGUAUAGUUGGUUUACGGAGUUUUGCCAAUAUCUGCUAUACAGCAUGUGCUAUACCUCGAGUCAUACUAUGUAUACAUUCCUUUUCUCACGCUGUCUUCCAUCCUGUUCUAGCCCAAGAGAGUGGAUAAAGUUCUCUGUGCUGUAUGGUAGGACCUCACUGCUGGUCCAUAUUCUAACGCAGUAGUUAUAGCAUCCACGAUCCCAGGGCAGUGCCGAGGUCCUCGGGGCCAUCCCGUGAGGUUGGUGACUCCAUUAUCCCCAUUCCGCAGAUGAGAAAGUCGAGGCUUUAAGAAGUGAGACAACCUGAUCAAGGCUACAUAGCAGUAAAGGAUAGAGCUGAGACUGGAACAAAGCUUGUUUGACCAGUCCGUACUCUUAACCUCAACACCACGCUGUUCUUUGGUGUUUCAAAAUCCCUCGUAAGCCGUAUGCUUCCAAGAACAUUUUGAACAGAAAACAUUCAGACUCAGAGCCACUUAGCUGUGAUGUGGCAGAAGGAACCCUGGGUCGGAGUCAAAGGAGGGCCUCUUAACCGUGUCCUUGACUGCUGAGCGAGUCCUCUGCAAGCUGGCUCCCCAGCCCGCUCGGGCUCUUCCCUCCCAUCUGUGACAGUGCCUGUCUGCUGGCAUUCCGGACGAAUUUUUGAUUUCCUCUUCCUUAAUUUUUCCUAAACUAAGAGAAAUGCCCUCUGCCACGCCCACAUCAUGUGUGGCAGUUAAAGCUGGUAUCAAAUGAGUCAGUUGGCACAGGGCUACUUGUCGUGAAAGAAGCAGCAGCAGUGAUUAAAUGCACCCCUCCUCCCCCUGGCAGAAAGCAAGUGGAGCAUAAUGACUCAAGGGCAAAGCGAGGAAAGCCCUUGGCAGCUGCGCCGUGAUAUACUCUUCUGUCUCGAAUUUUCCCUGUGUAUGUUCACCUCCCCUCACCAUGCUGCUCGUGGUUCGUCCUCAUCUCCAGUGUAUUUAAGCCAUUGUCCCGCAAUAACGGCCCCCAGCUGUCUUUGUCCAGUCGGAGGGGAGACCCAGGCCUCGAGAAGACUUGCUGACGGUCUCAAGCAGGUAUCUCAUUCGGUCACAUAGCUUUUCACCAUCUCAUGUGUCUUUGACUGAACGGUGUUCACCCCAAACUCAUAUAUUGAAGUUGUACCACUGAUCCCUUAGCAUGUUACUGUCUUCGGAGACAGGACUUUGAAAGAGGAAACUAAGGAAAACGGGGUGCCAUGCAAGGGCCCUGAGGCCACGUGACCGGGGCCCUUCCAAGAGGAGGCGAUCCGGACAGAAACACGAAGGGACGGAGGGAAGGCGGCCCUCAGCAGCCGAGGCGAGAGGCAUCAGAGGAAAACAAACCUGUUACCACGCUGAUCUUGGUCCCAGAUCCCACUGGAGAAAAUGAACCUCUGCUGCUUAGGAGAGCUGUGAGGAAGUACCCGUCUGUUGAUCAAGCCACCCAGCGUUUGGUAUUUCAUCAUGGCAGCCUGAACAAAUUAAUGCAUCCUUUCUUUCUCUUUUUCCUUUCUAGGGCCGCCCCCACGGCGUAUGGAGGUUCCCGGGCUAGAGGUCGAAUUGGAGCUACAGCUGCCGGCCCGCACCACAGCCACAGCCACUCGGGAUCCGAGCUGCGUCUGUGACCUACACCAGAGCUCACAGCAACUCCGGAUCCUUAACCCACUGAGCGAGGCCAGGGAUCAGGCCCACGUCCUCGUGGGGCUUAGUUGGGUUCAUUCCCGCUGAGCCACAGGGGGAAAUCCAGUCCUCAUGUGCUAAAUCCAGGGUUGGUUUUAGUCUUUUUUCUGUUACUUCCCAGAAGAGCUUUAGCUUCAUUUUUAAUUUUCUUUCCUCAUUUGCUUGAGCGAGAUAUUUUUUGCCCCAGUAGGUCAUACUCAGGUAUAUAAGCCUUCAUCCACGCCCUGGAGCACAGAGACUUCAGAGCUGUUGCAGGGUUUGAGGAGCACCCAGGGUUAGUGACUCUUAUCUGGUGCUCUGAACACAGCUUACGUUUCUGCACCUGUGCAAAAUCCUUGUCUCGUCACUGCUUCACCUACGUGUGUCCGUUCUCAGGUAUAUUAGCUCCUUUUACAGUUAAUAAAAUAAGCCGCUAACCACACACAGCUGAUUUCUCCCCUUUACCAAUAUCCCAUGGAUUCCUCUGCUUUUUCUUACCGUCUGUCCUGAUAAAAUGGCAGCAGCAGCACCAUUCACCCAGCUUCGUGUUCUCCAGCUAGGAAAUGAGGGCGUCAUCCUGUUUGGUUUCUCUUCUUUGGCCGCCCACGGCACGUGGAGUUCCCGGGCCAGGGAUCAGGCCCCAGCUGCAGUUGUGACCAACACUGCAGCUGUGGCAGUGCAGGAUCCUUGACCCGCUGUGUCGGGCUGGGGAUUGAACCUGCGCCCCAGUGCUGCAGAGACACCGCUGACCCCAUUGUGCCACAGCGGGAACUCCAGGGAGUCACUCUUGAUCUUUCUUUUCCUUGCUCAUUUAUCCAACUCAUUACCCACUUCUGUUCAUUCUUCCUUUAACACAUAUAACAGGGAAAGAUUUGUAAUAUUAAACUGUAGUAUUAACUCUGAAUUGCAAAUAUCAAUAUGGACUAAUGUAUUAAAAAGUAUGUGUGUGUCAGGAGUUCCCUGGCGGCCUAGCAGUUAAGGAUCCAGCAUUGCCACUGCUGUGGCUUGGAUUUGACCCCUGGCCUGAAAACUUCUGCACGUUGAGGGCACAGCCAAAGAAAGUGUGUGUCUGUCUGUCUGUCUGUCUAUCUGUCUGUCUGUCUGCCCAGCCCUGCCACUAAUAGAACUUAGAAGCAGUGGCGUGUCCUUAGCGACAAGCCCGUGUGUCUGUCUGUCUGUCUGUCUGUCUGCCCAGCCCUGCCACUAAUAGAACUUAAAAGCAGUGGCGUGUCCUUAGCAACAAGCCCAUCCGGCAUCCAGAUUUUGAUUUCUACGCAUCAUUACCACCAAAAGAGUAACAGUCUUUGGAGAAAUAGCUGAUUCUAGUUGUUGAGCAGUGAAACUGCAGGUGAGCUGGGGCCCUCCCGUGGCGGACACCAAAGACGUGCUCAGUGCUUUACGGGGCAUGUUCAACGGACCCAAGAGCUCCUUUAAAGUGGUCCCACUAGAGCAGGUUUUGGAUACUUUGAAGUGUAAUUGAUUAUAAAACACCGAAUACAUAAAAUCUAUUAGUCUAUAAUAAUACUCAAAAAGUGAAGGAAAGGAGGAAAAAAAUUGACUAUUAGAGAUGACUACUCAAUAAAUCCUUACUCUAAAAUUGGUAGUAAAAGGGAAAGAACUGAACAUUUAUCUACUUUUUUAUGAGGGAUUGUCUGUCCUCCUCCUUAAUGAGGGAAACUCUUCCUUAGAAAAGGAUGACCAGGAGUUCCCGCUGAGGUGCAACGGGAUUGGUGGAGUCGCUGAGGCGCUGGGACGCAGGUUCCGUCCUCCACCCAGCGCAGAGAGUUAAGGAUCUGGCAUUGCCUCAUUCGAGGCUUAGAUUGCAACUGCAGCUCGGAUCUGGCCCCUGGCCCGGGAACUCCAUAUGCUGUGCACCCCCGCCCCCCAAAAAAGACCAAAAAAGGAACGGUGUGAGAUGAACUAUUUUGCAACUGCCAGUGAAAUAACUGCUUAAGGCAGAGACCAUCAGAGGCGAAAGGUCACUGCAGAACAGGAUGGUCUUGCAGUGACAAGGCGUCACCACACACGGUACUUGUUCGCUGUGACGGGCAGAAGGGAGGGACGGGGACAUCAGCCUGAAGGCGCUGACAACGCGGAAUAAUCUUGUUAUUGUUGCUAUUAAGGAUGAGGAUUAUUUCGGGGACAAUGAGGUGGUUGACCGUCCUCCAGCUUCCUGGGGUGGCCAUGGCUCCCUGCUGGACAGCACGGGGAAGGGCGUGGGUCUGGGUCACUCUGCUGUACAAGAGAAUGUGGCCAACAUUCAACCGCACUUUAAUUUUAAAAAAAGCAACAGCUUCCCAGACGCCUCCCUGGAGAUUCUAAUGUUCACGCGGAAUGGGGACGGGCUACAGGUAUUUAUAUUUUGAAGGAGCUCAUUUGUGUCCUCAGGCCACUGGGACACACCGGCCUUAUCCUUCUAAGCUGGGAUUUGGGGUCAGACGGAUUAGGAUUCGGGGCUGGGCUCUGGAGGUGCGUAGCUGUGUGAAACCUUAGGCGACGCCCCUGUCCACAGCGUGAUUCGUAUCCAGAAACAGGGAUGACAGCUGCUGGCACAGGGCUGUUCUGGGGAAUUGAGUGAUUCCUGGAGAACUACUACCGUGCCUGGAAUAGUCUAGGUUCUCAGCAAAUAUUGCAAACCAUGAUUCGAUUUCCCCGUCAUUCGCUUGGUUGUGUUACUCUGAUUCAAGGUCUUGGUGCUGGUGUCUUUGGUUUUUCGGCAACACGGGUGAGUCAGGGCAGGUGACACGUGAGCUCUAACCCCAGCCGAAGACUCUCCUCUGCCAACUUUUCGCUGCCUCAACAAGGUAUCUCUUUCAUUUAUUCUUUUUGGUUCCACCUGUCACCUCCCUUAAAUUAUAAAAAGGCCUUCCAUGAAUCUCUUUGUUCUACAGCAGAAGUUAUCACAACAUUGUAUAUCAGCUAUACUUCAAUAAAACUUUUUUAAAAAUUAAAAAAA
rnacentral:lncRNA from 1 species